UGGGGAAUAUUGCACAAUGGGGGAAACCCUGAUGCAGCGACGCCGCGUGAACGAAGAAGGUAUUCGUAUCGUAAAGUUCUGUCCUAUGGGAAGAUAAUGACAGUACCAUAGAAGAAAGCUCCGGCUAAAUACGUGCCAGCAGCCGCGGUAAUACGUAUGGAGCGAGCGUUGUCCGGAAUUAUUGGGCGUAAAAGGUACGCAGGCGGUUUAAUAAGUCGAAUAUUAAAGAUCGGGGCUCAACCCCGUAAAGCAUUGGAAACUGAUAGACUUGAGUAGUGGAGAGGAAAGUGGAAUUCCUAGUGUAGUGGAGAAAUACGUAGAUAUUAGGAGGAAUGCCAGUAGCGAGGGCGACUUUCUGGACACAAACUGACGCUGAGGUACGAAAGCGUGGGGAGCAAACAGG
rnacentral:rRNA from 1 species